GACGAACGCUGGCGGCGUGCUUAACACAUGCAAGUCGAACGGAAAGGCCCUGCUUUUGUGGGGUGCUCGAGUGGCGAACGGGUGAGUAACACGUGAGUAACCUGCCCUUGACUUUGGGAUAACUUCAGGAAACUGGGGCUAAUACCGGAUAGGAGCUCCUGCUGCAUGGUGGGGGUUGGAAAGUUUCGGCGGUUGGGGAUGGACUCGCGGCUUAUCAGCUUGUUGGUGGGGUAGUGGCUUACCAAGGCUUUGACGGGUAGCCGGCCUGAGAGGGUGACCGGCCACAUUGGGACUGGGAUACGGCCCAGACUCCUACGGGAGGCAGCAGUGGGGAAUGUUGCACAAUGGGCGGAAGCCUGAUGCAGCAACGCCGCGUGCGGGAUGACGGCCUUCGGGUUGUAAACCGCUUUCGCCUGUGACGAAGCGUGAGUGACGGUAAUGGGUAAAGAAGCACCGGCUAACUACGUG
rnacentral:rRNA from 1 species